GGGGGGGGGGGGGGGCGAAAAUCCUGGGACACCGGUCUCAGAGAAUGACAAGCGUAUGCGACUAGUCGUAUGGUCUAAAUGAUAUAAUCACCUCAACAAUAGAUCAUUAUAAGUUCUUUGAAUGUUUGCAUGGCGAUAAAAUAUAAUUGUUUUUGUAAUAGAUCAUUAGCUGAAUUCAUAUUUAUAGGAGACGGAUUUCCGUCUAAGACGGGAAACUCGUGUGAUGGAUUACCGUCUGGUACGAAUGUGAAGCGAAAACCAUCGCACGGAUAAACACGAAAAAAUAGGAGACCCUCCAUCCCAGUCUCUUUCCAACGUUACGAGCAGAAACCCGUCUUGAUUUAUUCGUCUGAUAUAAAUUUAAGACGAGUUUCCCGUCUAAGACGAGACUGAACUCGUCUAACUUUCCUGUCGUUCAGACGAGAAAGUUGAACGGAAAGCGGUUGAGAUGGAAAACCCGUCGUUAACCGAAUUUAUAUCUGGACCGACUGGACGACUUUCUCGUCUUAGACGAGUUUCCAAUCUCAGACGAGUUUCUAAUUUCAGGCGGAAAUUCGUCUUCUAAUAUGAAUUCAGCUGUUUUCACGGAUCACGUGACAAAUUCUGGAAAGGCAGUGGAAACGUUGAGUUGGCUUAAUUUAAACUUACUUGUCUAAUGCAGUUUGCCUUGUACCAGUCGCUAUACACGCUGGACACAUAUACUCUGCAAUGCAAGAAUGUAUAUGUAAUCCGUGAUUGAGAAAUGGAUAAUAUUGAUUUUAAGAUAUUGAUGUAAAAUACAGAUUAAUAGUAAAUAGGAAUGAAAUAAAAAAUAUAUGAAU
rnacentral:lncRNA from 1 species